GAUUAAGAGGGAAACCCUCUCUUCAAUUUUUUAUUUUUACAUUCUUUAUUUUUUCAGUUCAGAUAAGAGAAAAAAUAAGGGAAUUGCAUUAACAAAUGUGUAAUGUGCACAACAGUGAGAAAAGAUGUAACUAAGCCAAUAUAACACGUGCUGGGCAAGAUGCAUACGUCUGAGCUCAAAACAUAUGCUGCAGUGCUUUCAAACUUUGUACGAUUGUGCAUGCUGGGGUAACUAGGUUCCGUUAUUUGAAAGAGCUCAUCCCAAUGAGUCCUAAGGAGUUCACUACGGGUUGCUUCCAAGUUGGAGAUGAGUCUGUUAGAGUGGGAAUGGGUUCUAUU